rnacentral:rRNA from 2 species
CGUGAAACCGUCCAGGGGUAAACCUGCGAAACUCGAAUGAACGAACGGAGAGAUUCAUCGUCAUUCCUCGGCGCACGGGCGUCGGCACGAUGUCUCCGCCCUCGGGCGGCGGGCACGGGCCGCGUUCGUCGCGCUCCGGGGACGGCGUGCACUUCUCUCUCAGUAAUACAUCGCGACCCGUUCGGUGUCGGUGUAAGUGCCCCCCGGGAGCCUUCGCUUCCUUGUGUCGUGGAGACCGCGGGGUGCACCGACCGGCCGCCGGACGGUAUUUCGUACGAAACGCGCACGCGCUUCGGCGCGUCCGGCCCGACGCAAGGCAACGUCGUAUCCCUCCUCCUGCCCGAGUGCGGAAGAGGGUGCGGCGCGCCUGUUGUCGCAGCCGUGCUGUCUCGGACUGUGCGCGUGUCCGUCUGCGA